rnacentral:rRNA from 1 species
AAGAGUUUGAUCCUGGCUCAGGACGAACGCUGGCGGCGUGCCUAACACAUGCAAGUCGAACGGAGAAUUUCAAUAAGCUUGCUUAGCGAAAUUUUUAGUGGCGGAACGCGUGGGUAACCUACCCAUAAACCCGGGACAACCCUUGGAAACGAGGGCUAAUACCGGAUAAGCUUUAAGAGUGGCAUCACUCUUAAAGAAAAGGUGGCCUCUGUAUAUGCUACCGAUUAUGGAUGGACCCGCGUCUGAUUAGCUAGUUGGUGGGGUAAAGGCCUACCAAGGCGACGAUCAGUAGCCGGCCUGAGAGGGUGAACGGCCACACUGGGACUGAGACACGGCCCAGACUCCUACGGGAGGCAGCAGUGGGGAAUCUUGCGCAAUGGACGAAAGUCUGACGGAGCAACGCCGCGUGAGCGAAGAAGGUCUUCGGAUUGUAAAGCUCUGUGAUAUUGGACGAACAAUCUUCCUGUAAAUAAUGGGAAGAAGUGACGGUACAAUAAGAGGAAGCCACGGCUAACUACGUGCCAGCAGCCGCGGUAAUACGGGUGUGGCACGUUGUCCGGAAUUACUGGGCGUAAAGGGCGAGUAGGUGGUUUGCUAAGUCAGAAGUGAAAACUCCGGGCUCAACUCGGAGACUGCUCUACGAAACUGGUAGACUUGAGUGCAAGAGAGGGAAGUGGAAUUCCUAGUGUAGCGGUGAAAUGCGUAGAUAUUAGGAGGAACACCAGUGGCGAAGGCGACUUCCUGGCUUGUAACUGACACUGAGGCGCGAAAGCGUGGGGAUCAAACAGGAUUAGAUACCCUGGUAGUCCACGCCGUAAACGAUGAGUGCUAGGUGUCGGGGGUAUCGACCCCCUCGGUGCCACCAGCUAACGCAAUAAGCACUCCGCCUGGGGAGUACGGUCGCAAGACUGAAACUCAAAGGAAUUGACGGGGGCCCGCACAAGCGGUGGAGUAUGUGGUUUAAUUCGACGCAACGCGAAGAACCUUACCAGGGCUUGACAUCCUGGAACGUUCAGAAAUAUUGACUUCUUAGUUUACUAAGACAGGGAGACAGGUGGUGCAUGGUUGUCGUCAGCUCGUGUCGUGAGAUGUUGGGUUAAGUCCCGCAACGAGCGCAACCCCUGUGUUUAGUUGCUAACGCGUGGAGGUGAGCACUCUAGACAGACUGCCGGUGAUAAACCGGAGGAAGGUGGGGAUGACGUCAAAUCAUCAUGCCCCUUAUGUUUUGGGCUACAAACGUAAUACAAUGGCGUAAACAAAGGGCUGCGACGUCCGCGAGGGGGAGCUAAUCUCUUAAAACAUGUCUCAGUUCGGAUUGGAGUCUGCAACUCGACUCCAUGAAGUUGGAAUCGCUAGUAAUCGCAGGUCAGCAUACUGCGGUGAAUACGUUCCCGGGCCUUGUACACACCGCCCGUCACACCACGAAAGUCUGCAACACCCGAAGCCGGUGAGGUAACCCGAAAGGGAGCUAGCCGUCGAAGGUGGGGCCGAUAAUUGGGGUGAAGUCGUAACAAGGUAACC